GUUAGGCAGCCAAGGUUGAGAACUACGGAUCUAGCAAGAAAUGGAUAACUUGUCAAAAUGAGAUUCUUAUUUCUUCAAAUCUUGCAUAUUCUAAUCCAAACUUUUGAAAUUCAGGAGAAAUGACCUACUUACCUGUAGCUGGAAGAAAUAGAGGGGCCAGAGCAACAGUGGAGAAGCAGCCGAGGAGCGCAAACACAGUGAACAUUCCCACCUGUCCGAAGAUGACGUAGGGAAGCACCAGUGCACUGGGGACCAGAUCGCUGCCUUAACGCCAUUUCUUAAAGAUGUGCACAAGGUUUUCACGGUGUGGUGAACCAGCUCGGACCCGAUACUCUGCUAAGGAUCUGACGUCCACAGGGCAUUUUGGAAACAUUGGGCCAGGAGUCAGGAAGACCCUAGUCUGCUGCCUGCCAGGAACCAAUUGCUUGACCUUGGACAAGUCUCUUUCCGUGUCUGGGCCUCAUGCUCUUCAUCUCUAAAGACUCAGACCACACAAUCUCUAAGAUUUCUUCCAGCCCUGACGAAUGUGUUCAAUAAUUUUGUUAAAAACACCCUGUCUCAAACAAUGAAUCUGUGCUUAGCGUGUAAUGGAUACACGAUAAAUGUUUGUCACACAGAAUUAAAUCAUUGUGAUUUCCAUGGAA
rnacentral:lncRNA from 1 species